rnacentral:rRNA from 1 species
AACGAACGCUGGCGGCAGGCCUAACACAUGCAAGUCGAACGAGACCUUCGGGUCUAGUGGCGCAUGGGUGCGUAACGCGUGGGAACCUGCCCUUAGGUUCGGAAGAACUCCCCGAAAGGGGUGCGAAUACCGGAUAAUGUCUUCGGACCAAAGGUUUAUCGCCCUUGGAUGGGCCCGCGUUGGCUUAGCUAGUUGGUAGGGUAAAAGGCUCCCAAGGCGAGGAGACAUAGCGGGUCUGAGAGGCUGAUCAGCGACACUGGGAGUGAGGAACGGCCCAGAAUCUUACGGGAGGCAGCAGUGCGUAAUCUUGGCCAAUGGGCGAAAGCCUGAUCCACCUCUGACGCGUGAGUGAUGAAGGCCUUAGGGUUGUAAAGCUAUUUUAUCCGGGAUGAUAAUGACGGUACCGGCAGAAUAAGCUCCGGCUAACUCCGUG